ensembl:lncRNA
GAGCCAGUUGCCGUCCGUGAGGCUGGCUCGAAGGGCGGCCUUCAUGGAGCGAUGAAAGCGCUCAACAAGUCCGUUAGCCUGCGGGUGGUAGGCGGUAGUGCGGUGGAGCUUGACCCCCAGAUUCUCCGCCACUGCCGCCCACAGCCCCGGAGUAAACUGCGGGCCACGGUCAGAGGAGAGGUCAGCAGGAGUGCCGUAGCGGGAGACACACACCGCGAUGAACGCCCGGGCCAGGUCGGGGGCUGUCGUUGAGGAGAGCGGGACUGCCUCCGGCCAGCGCGUCGUCCUGUCCACCAUGGUGAAGAGAUCCCAGUCCAUCAUGCUCCUGUACUUGUCUGCCGUGCCACCAUCAUGCCUCAUGCAUCACCUCUCAGCGCCCUGCCCAGCUGCAUCUUAUUCCGUUACUCCAGCUCUUUCCAGCUCCUUCACAUAAGUGACAAACACGCUCCACCCAAGUGUUUUUAAUAUUUUAUUAAUUAUGCUUAAGGUGUGCUUAAGUGGCCUGAAAGGGGCCCAUCAAUAAAAUGCUUUUUAUUGAUGUAACAUUAUGGCUCCAUCAAAAGCAAAGUACACCUGCCAUUUAACUAUCAUUUAUACUAUCAUUUAUACUAUCCUAGACAUCUUUAAUCGUAUUUACAUAGGCCUACAGUAGGCCUGAUUUCCUCUGAAUGUUUAAAUAAAAAAGUUCCCUGUCCAUGUCAGAUCCCUGUCCAUCAUACUCCUGUUGUUGUCUUCCUGCACACCUGACUGCCUCCUCCAUCGAUUGCGGCCACAGCCCUCUCCCUGUACAAUAUUUCAUGUUAAAUACAUUUCAGGAUCAAGUUUGAGAUUCAGUUUCAGUAUUACUUGUUUUUGAAACCUGACGUGGGGCUGGCACCGCCACCAUCAUAUCAGUCUUAUUUAUAGCACCCACACAGGUGUGUGCCGUCCAUAUGGGCAGGUGGGGCGGCGAACUCCCUGCAUGCUCCCAAAAAAAUGUGUUCCUCAGUAAAUCAUUACUCCAAGUUGAUAAUGUGAUUGUCAGAUUAACUAUCUAUAGUUUCUGUAGGCUUUCCGACUAUUUUUGGUCUGUUGAUAUCAAAUUGAUGGGGGCGAUUCUAGUUGAGUUUAACGAGUCAUGCAAUGUGGGGCAGGGGAGCUCAACGACCGUGUCCCUCCGUAUGUUUCACGCAUAACCCGGCAGGCUGCAAUAAGAAUUGCAAUCCGCACUAUAAGACGCCCAUAUGGUCGUAAAGUAGUCUGCCCCAUGGUCAUAUUGUAGGACUGUUGUUUAAAAUCGAAUUACUAAGCCUGUAUCUUUCGGCAUUGAAGCCUAUUUAUUUAUUUAUUUCAGCAGGUAUUAAAAUUGCAUACCUGAUUUCAUACCUGAUUUAAACAGCUGUUAUUGAGAAAUAUCUGAUUUCAAAACUGUUGUUAUUGAGAGAUUUGCA